CCGGCUCCCGGCCCCGGCCGGCCAGGGAAGCGGCCCCUCCCCGGCCGCCCGCCCGCCCCUCCCGUUACACCCGGGGGAAGGUGUUCCCGAGACCGCUCCCAUCCUCACGCGCCUCCCCGCUCCCCAGGCUCCAGCCUCUGCCGGCGGAGCUCCACUAUGCCAGACAGUUUCGACACUUUGCAAAGACAAAGACCAGAGGGAGGAGGAAGAGGAGGACGAGGAGGGAGAGGAGGACGGAGCGCUGUGAGCUGGAAGGGGGUCGAGUGUUCGGGACACCCCCCUCUUAUUCUCCUCCGAGCCCCUCAUCCCCAAAGCCGCGGAAACUCCCGCGUGUCUCCAGCUGCGCCGGGACUACUUUCAGGAUCAACUUUUCUGACCUGGAAAUGCCAAUAGAUGUCAUAAUCAUCGCCAGGAGGUGUGGUGAGCAAACACUUUGAGCUUCGUGACCAGGACGGUUUCCUCUGAGUGCCAGAGAUGGACAGUCCCUCAGCCUCCUGAGGUACCUUGAUACAAAUAUGAGCCUUCCCAUGGUCACAGGAAGAUCAGACACAGUAUUGGGUCUCCUGUAAAGGGAAUGAAGCAAUGGCCAUAGUGUUCCCCAUCGGCUGAAGAUGGAGCAAGAGAGAUAAGAAACAGUGAGAGGAAGAAAGUGAGCUAAAGAUACAGGGCCUGUGAGUCUUGGAAGAAGGAGGAAUGCUAGAGACAAAAGAUGACAGGGAGGGACCAUGGGUUUACUCUCAAAGAAUGUGUUAAACAGAAUCAUGACGAUUGGGAACUUAUCCCAUCUCAGAAUCAGGCUGAGUACAGCCAGUUCUAUACAGCAGACCCAUGGGGAGAAGCUUGGACUUGGAAAUAGUCCCGCCAUCUUGGGUGGGUCAGGACUGGAAGCAUAAUCGAAGAUUUUACUUGCUGAAUAAGGGAAUGUGCAGUGCUGAAGAAGAGGGCCAGUCACUGAGCUGCACGGUGCUUAUGGACAGGUCAGAAAAGAAACUCUAGGUGGCCAGGAGGACUAUGGGCAAAGGCUCCACGUUGUGUCUGUAGGAUCUGGGCUUUUUUUUGGCCUCGGGUUCCCCCAGAACUAGCAAGAACGAAGCAGAGUUUCAGAUGAUGGAAAAGAAUUGAACUGAUGUGUAUCUGUACCUCUGGAUUGGAAAUGGGCCCUGCCUCUCUCCUCUUGGUUGGGUUUUAAGUUUUCACCAUUGCCGGUGAGUGUUGGAGUCACUUGAAACAGGUGUUUCCACAGCAGACUUUCAAACAGUGGAGUUUAAGCAGAUAUGAAGUAAUUAGAAGUAACAAUUAGAAAAGAUACUGGUUUUUGCUACAUAGUAUCGAGCACACCAGGGACAACAGAGGUGGUGGUGACGAUGAUGUUAACAGCGAUGAUAUCGUCCAUCCAUUUCAAGCUCAUUGUGUGCCAUGUACACCAUUCUGGUAAUAAUAAUUGUUAUUAUACUAGCUUCAGAUUAUUGUGCUAAGCACUAUAGUCACUUUUUCUCAGCACAUGAACCCAGAGCAUGUUUUUCGAUUACAUUUUUUCCAAUUGCUCAAGUUUGAUAUAAUUACAGAUUUACAGAUAAGUUGCAAGAAGAACCAAAAAAUUCCUGGAUACCCCUCACUUGGAUUCCUUAAGUCCUAACAUUUUACUAUAUUUGUUCUAUCCUGUCCUCUCUCUAUUUUUUCUGAAACCCAAAGAUUCUUAAAACUGUGAUACAACCAAGUCAGAAACUUAGCACGGGUCCGCGGCUGUUAUCUGAGCCUCGGAACUUCUUCUGAUUUCACCAGAGGCCCCCAAGUGAGGUCCUAUCCAGCAAAAGAAAACCUACUGGGCACAUGGCCUUUUUGGAAAACUUCUUCACUCUUGUAUUUCGUGAUGUUCAUGUUUUUGACACGUUAAGCCAAUCAUUUUUCAGAGUGUCCCUUGGUUGGUGCUUGCCUGAUGCUCCCUCGUGAUUCCAUUUACAUUCCUGCUUUUGCCCGGCAUCCCACAGAAUUCAGGGGGUGUCCUCCAUGCCUCAUAAGUGGAGGGCCGGGGCUGGUCUGUCCCAUUACUGUAGUGUUGGCCUUAUUCCUUGGUUAAUGAUGGCAUCAGCCAAUGGUCAAGGGGCCUGGCUCCUUUCAGUGGAGAAUGGUGUCUAGAAAUACCAUCUGGUCAUGGAUAUGUCCGUGGCUGCCGAGAUAGCCUCCCCCUGGGCCCUCUGAGCAGACAGAGCUGGGAAAUAGGGAGUGUGGGGGUGUGUGCAUGCUUCCGUGUGUGCGUAUAUAUUAUGCGUAUACACAUAUCUGUAUAUAUAGACCUGUGUAUAUGUAUCAGCAUAUACGUGCGUACCCAUCAUAUAUAUGUGUGAAUAUGCCUAUAGAGGCACGUCGUGUAGAUCGUUUCUAAAGCAGCACACAUGCAUAUUAAAACCACGGUGAGCGCACACUGGCGAAGCUAGCCGCAACAUUCUUGAAACCCACGUCUGUCUCAAUGAUGCUGGCCCAGUCUCACGGCCAAUACCACCGAGCACCACAUUUAUUAAACCACAGGUCAGACCCUAUUCCAGACCCUUCUCUUGCUGCUACUGCUCCUCAAGCAGCCCAAGUCCCAAUGAGGAAACAAGACUCCGAAAAGAUAAUUAACUUCUGCAACGUUGUACAACGAGCCAGUGAGGCAAACGUACCCUGAGUGCCUGUUGGCCUGUUGGCGUCAGAGCCGAUGGCCUGUGGGGAGGCCGGUGCCUCAGAGGAAAACCCAAGCCAAGGGUGACGGGAGCGUUUGUCCCACAGACCCGAGACGGCUGAGGCUCCUAGCGGCAGGAAGGAGAUGGCGCAUUGGUGACGCCCACGUCCGUCACUCCCGGCAGGUGUUUACCGGCUGCCUCUCGGGCAUCUGCAUGGGGCUGUGUGUGCUCGAGCCUUUUCCUGGCAGGGGUGGGCGGCUGCGGUCCCGUGCUUUCAAGCCCUCGAUCAGGUUCAGGUUGCGGGCAUAAAAGCAGAAGUGGGCCUCUCUGGGGAGAGCGCAUUUCCUCUCUUGCUGUGGGGCAUUCCAGGCUGAGCUGCUACAGCCCAGAGGCUUUAACUGGAAACACAUUUGUGUCCCGGCUCCCAGCAGAGCACUUGUAGGAGGUGAACUUGAUAAAUGCUACUUCUGAUCGUGCAUCAAUAGCUGUUUCUGAGCUCUUUCUGUGUGCCAGGCACUGUCCUGGGCAGACAGAGCCCCAGGGAGCUCACGCGUUAGCCAAAAGCCAGAGAAGGGCAAGGGGAAGAGAUGGACAGUAAGCCAGGGCGUAAAUGAACAUCAGUAGCGUGGGGCGGGGUGGGACGGAGAGCAUGUGUGGCGUGCUGGUCCUGGAGGGGCACUCGGAGGAGCCCUGGGUGGAAUCCCGUCACACUGCCCAGAGGAAAGAGCACAGCAGCAAAGACAGGGAGCCCGGGCUGCUGAUCAGAGCACACACGGAGGACUCAUUACCCUCCCCGAGGGGCUUCACCCUGGAAAGCGAAGCCUGUCUGCUCCUGUGCAUCUUUUCAGGCCUGAGGAGUCACAUACAUGGGCUCUCUCUCCCUCAGAGCUCAAGCAUUUCCUCCAAAAAAUGUAAAUGUUAUCAGCUGGCCCAGAGGUGAACUGGAGGCCAAGGCACUCAGUGGAUAAGAGGCGGUCUUAGCGGUCACAGAUAUAGAAAUGGGCAGCAGGGUGGGAUUUCUGUUGCUGAUAACCUUAAAGAAAGAGCAACAGUUGUGGGCACAGGGACCUGGGAGAGAUACCGGGGAGCCAGCUUCGAGGAGCUGCAGGGCUGGCAGGUGCAGAAGGGCGAGCCUGCACCGGGCGAUUUGAAGGAGGGAAUCCAUGGGAGCAAGUGGAAUUCACAGAGAGGUCUCAGUUGGGGCCGUGGGGUUCCUGCCUGCCUUCUCAUCCACUCAAGCAUUCAUUCGUUCGCUCAGGCAGCAGACACUCCUGGGUCCCUGGCACCGUGCCGAGGACGGGAUAAAACCGAGUGAGACAAGAUGGUGGUAAUUCAGUGGGAGAAACAGACAAAUUAACAGAUCGGUGCUAGGCACAGAUGCACCUCUGAGCUACAGGGAGGCCCAUAGCUAAUGCAGUUUGGGCGUUCUCUUUAAGAAAUAAUGAUACGAGUUACGGAUUUAAAAUGAAAGAUGAGCCCUAGGGGCACCUGGGUGGCUCAGUUGCUUGAGGAUCUGC